CUUAAAUUUAUAAAAAUCUCUUAAAAAUUGUUUCCAAAAAAUGUCAAAACAAAUUGCAAAACAUAAACAAGUGAAUAAUUUGCAUGUGGUAAUAGAGUUAGAAGCUAUCAAACUGUGAGAGUGGUGUAAAAACUACCGGGUUCUGAGUGGGCUAUAGCCCUAGAUUCUAUAAAAAUUCUGUGUGCUCUUAAAUUGUGAAUUUAGUGAAGGCGUCGAACUUUUCCAUUGAAUCUGCUGGCCUAUUGUUUGCUUCAUAUUUCAGUGGAAGCUGGAUACUGUUUAAGGUGAGUUUAUUUUCGAUAUAGCGAGGCUUGUUUCCUGGAAAAUCGUAAAUAUUUACUUAAGUUAUAUAUACUUGUAUAUUAAGUUGCUUAAAACAAAUUGGUCCUGUCAUACCUUUAAAGCGUUAUCCAUUUUAAGGUUGCCUACUUUUUUUUUU